GCAGGUGCAUGCCUCUAGCA
rnacentral:rRNA from 1 species